UAUACAUCUCAAAGGUCAUAAGGUCAGGCAGUUAUAGCUGAGGCAGCUUGCUGUCAAAUAGAAUAAAUGAUUAAUAAUGCAUUAUGCAUAUACAUUUGAAAGAAGUCAGAAAUAAUUAAAUGUGCUUUUCAGUGUGAUGUCGGGACCACACAGAUCAUGGACCAAUUCAGAGCAACAAUGAAGAGUGCACCACUUGACCUUAAUGGUGAUUCCAACACUUACUGCACACCAACAUUCAUUUCCCGUUUGACCAAAUACUUCCUCCCGCAUGCCGUUCUGUGGUCUGGAAUGAUGUUAGAAACAAAGAGAGAACUUUUCACAGCAACAGCCACAAAUAGCUGAGGAAAAAAUACAGUUAUCAUCCAAACACAGGCCACAUCUGACUUCACUGAGCAUCAGCAGGAGGACACAAAGAGAAGUACCACUCAAAGAACCAAUGAUGCUCAAUCACAGCUAACUGCAUUGUGGGGCAAAAAUAACACAGAAGUGGUCGUUUCUGUGGUCCUUUCUCAAUUUAGAAAGAAAUGAUUAGUCCACCACAGUGAGUUACUAUCACUUAGGCCUCAUAACUGGCUCACAGGCGAGGUAUGUAGGGCAAACAGUGCAGCAGCAUGAUCAUGAAAAUAUACUUAAAAAUGCACAAAUGUUAAAUAGUCGCAGUGACUUGUAAUCAUUUUUGGGGCUUUGAGCUCUCUGUUCCUGUUCAAAAGUUUUAAUGUAAAUAUUGUAAUGUCAUGACUUCUGAUGUACUGAUUGAUGUUAGGACAUUGAGUAUUUCUUACAUCACACUGUCAAUCGACUGCAUUUGGAGAAAACCAUCUAUGUCUUGGACCACUACAUAGCUACUGUGAUCCUCUUUAAGGACAGAAUUACAGUCAGGAAGCAUAGUUUGCCGAAGUGAAUACUUUCGGAUAAGGACUAUCCGCCACCGUGAGAGAGAGUGGGCAGAUAUUGAAUUCACAGGAGCUGUUAUGCAACACCCAGUUCAGCAUGAUACAUAUAGCUGUGGUGUGAUGGUCAUGAUGAUGGCAAAGGCAGUCAUGGAGGCAUUUCCUAAAUUGCCUAACAUGGAAUUUGGGACUACUGAAGAAGAAAUGGCAGAGGAACGCACAGCUAUGGCACUUGAACUACUUGGGGC